GUGGGUAGUUUGACUGGGGCGGUCUCCUCCCAAAGAGUAACGGAGGAGCACGAAGGUUAGCUAAUCCUGGUCGGACAUCAGGAGGUUAGUGCAAUGGCAUAAGCUAGCUUGACUGCGAGAGUGACGGCUCGAGCAGGUGCGAAAGCAGGUCAUAGUGAUCCGGUGGUUCUGAAUGGAAGGGCCAUCGCUCAACGGAUAAAAGGUACUCCGGGGAUAACAGGCUGAUACCGCCCAAGAGUUCAUAUCGACGGCGGUGUUUGGCACCUCGAUGUCGGCUCAUCACAUCCUGGGGCUGAAGUAGGUCCCAAGGGUAUGGCUGUUCGCCAUUUAAAGUGGUACGCGAGCUGGGUUUAGAACGUCGUGAGACAGUUCGGUCCCUAUCUGCCGUGGGCGCUGGAGAAUUGAGGGGGGCUGCUCCUAGUACGAGAGGACCGGAGUGGACGCAUCACUGGUGUUCGGGUUGUCAUGCCAAUGGCACU
rnacentral:rRNA from 1 species